rnacentral:rRNA from 1 species
GGGGGGACCAUCCUCCAAGGCUAAAUACUCCUGACUGACCGAUAGUGAACCAGUACCGUGAGGGAAAGGCGAAAAGAACCCCGGCGAGGGGAGUGAAAAAGAACCUGAAACCGUGUACGUACAAGCAGUGGGAGCACAGGUUUACCUGUGUGACUGCGUACCUUUUGUAUAAUGGGUCAGCGACUUAUAUUCUGUAGCAAGGUUAACCGUAUAGGGGAGCCGGAGGGAAACCGAGUCUUAAUUGGGCGUUAAGUUGCAGGGUAUAGACCCGAAACCCGGUGAUCUAGCCAUGGGCAGGUUGAAGGUUGGGUAACACUAACUGGAGGACCGAACCGACUAAUGUUGAAAAAUUAGCGGAUGACCUGUGGCUGGGGGUGAAAGGCCAAUCAAACCGGGAGAUAGCUGGUUCUCCCCGAAAGCUAUUUAGGUAGCGCCUCGUGAAUUCAUCUCCGGGGGUAGAGCACUGUUUCGGCUAGGGGGCCAUCCCGGCUUACCAACCCGAUGCAAACUGCGAAUACCGGAGAAUGUUAUCACGGGAGACACACGGCGGGUGCUAACGUCCGUCGUGAAGAGGGAAACAACCCAGACCGCCAGCUAAGGUCCCAAAGUCAUGGUUAAGUGGGAAACGAUGUGGGAAGGCCCAGACAGCCAGGAUGUUGGCUUAGAAGCAGCCAUCAUUUAAAGAAAGCGUAAUAGCUCACUGGUCGAGUCGGCCUGCGCGGAAGAUGUAACGGGGCUAAACCAUGCACCGAAGCUGCGGCAGCGACGCUGAUGCGUUGUUGGGUAGGGGAGCGUUCUGUAAGCCUGCGAAGGUGGCCUGUGAGGG